ACCACGUGGUGGUCAACAAGAAUCAGUGAGAAGGUCAAAUGAACUCCUCCUUUAUCAGAGACAGAGUCCUGAAAGAAUUGGGCCGAAAAGUCUUUAAAAUUAAAGAAGGGUAAUGCAGAGAAUGAAGAGCUCGCUCAAGCAAAUCACUCAUAGAGUCAUAGAUGUCGAAAUGAAUGAAGAUAAAAAGGCCGAAAAAGACAAUGACAAAUGAGAGGAAAGAGAUGGAAAUUCCCCUGAAAAGACUUUAGGCAAAUGAACCCUAGAAAUUGAGAAGGAUGUGGUGGAUGAUAUAGAGAUGAAACGAAAGCAGAUGAUGAAGAAGUCAAGUCUGUAGAAGAAGUCAAGAAGGCAUUUGAAAUCCUGAAAUUACCCCACUCAGAUAUGAACGAAGAGAAAACAGCUUCUAGUGUUUUCCCGAGAAGGCAUGCCAAAACGAACACCAAGGAGAGGCCCAGGAAGGCAUGAACCAAAGCGAACACCAAUUCCUGAGAUUGCGAAAGAUGGUGCAGAAUGGUUCAUGCUAUGGGUCACUGAGCCACAGAGUGAUGGUGAUGACGAAGACCAACGAUCGUGAUGUAGGAGAGUGGUUAGAGGAUGAUGUGCCCAUUCUUCUUGUGAGGGAUCAAAGAUGGAAGGGUAGGUUUUUCCCUUGAGGCGGAGGUUUCACCUAUGAGAUGGAGGUUCAAUCCCCUUUGUGAGGUUUUUCCUGGAAUUGGUGCAUCUUGAUCUUGGUAGGCCCGAGCUUCCAUUCAGCUGGAAUAGUGGCCAGCUCUUGGUUUCGGCCCAUGUUAUAGAUUUCCUAACUUAAUGUAUCAGCAUUUCAACUUUCCCUGUUGCUGUUACUGUUAGUUGGCAAUUGGCAAAGGUUUUUUCAAUAUACAUUCAGGUAUUUGCAAUACAAGCAGUAGCACAAGGCGCCAAAGACCAGUGAUUUGCAGACUUCAUGAUUGAAUUAGGCAAGUGCUA